rnacentral:rRNA from 1 species
GGACUACCAGGGUAUCUAAUCCCGUUCGCUACCCUAGCUUUCGUGCCUCAGCGUCAGAAGAGAUCCAGUGAGCCGCUUUCGCCACCGGUGUUCCUUAGGAUAUCAACGCAUUUCACCGCUCCACCCUAAGUUCCGCUCACCUCUAUCUCCCUCGAGCACGGUAGUUUAGAGCGCAGUUCCUCGGUUAAGCCGAGGGAUUUCACACCCUACUUUCCGCGCAGCCUACGCACCCUUUAAGCCCAGUGAUUCCGAAUAACGUUCGGACGGUUCGUCUUACCGCGGCUGCUGGCAC